UACGAAGGGGGCUAGCGUUGUUCGGAUUUACUGGGCGUAAAGGGAGCGUAGGUGGAUAUUUAAGUGGGAUGUGAAAUACUCGGGCUUAACCUGAGUGCUGCAUUCCAAACUGAAUAUCUAGAGUGCAGGAGAGGAAAGUAGAAUUCCUAAGUGUAGCGGUGAAAUGCGUAGAGAUUAGGAAGAAUACCAGUGGCGGAAAGGCGACUUUCUGGACUGUAACUGACACUGGAGGCUCGAAAGCGUGGGGGAG
rnacentral:rRNA from 1 species